rnacentral:rRNA from 1 species
UACGGAGGGGGCUAGCGUUGUUCGGAAUUACUGGGCGUAAAGCGCGCGUAGGCGGACCUGCAAGUCGGGGGUGAAAGCCCGAGGCUCAACCUCGGAACUGCCUUCGAUACUGCGGGUCUCGAGUCCGGGAGAGGUGAGUGGAAUUCCUGGUGUAGCGGUGAAAUGCGCAGAUAUCAGGAAGAACACCAAUGGCGAAAGCAGCUUUCUGGGACGGUACUGACGCUGAGACGCGAAAGCGUGGGGAGCGAACAGG